UGGGGUGCUGAGUGGCUGGAUGGAGUUAGGAUUCAGCCAGUGGCCAGCCCAGGCUGUCUUUGGUAAGAGUGAGUGCUGUUCCUCCGUACCUCAGCUGUUCCUCCGUACCUCAGCAGCGAUGAUGACCUAACCUCUCAUGAGUGAUGAUGACCAAGUCUCUUAUGAGCCUCCUCCAAAAGUAGUCCAAACAGCCAGCAAGUUAAACCCAGAAGAGGAGCACCGGACCAGCUGCACACUCAGGAAGUCCCUGGCUAUGGAAAAAACGAUACUUCCUGGACCUUGUAGAGACACAAAGGAAGAAACACAGAGAAGGCCAUGUAAAGACACAGAGAAGGGAAUACUGCUGCCACAGACCAAGAAAUGAGGAACCACCAGAAGAAACUGGAAGAUGCAAGGAAGGGGGCCUCCGGUUGGUCCUGCCAACACUUUGAUUUCAGACUUCCAGCCUCCAGAACUGUAAAAGAAUAAAUUUCUGUUGUCUAAGCCAA